UACGUAGGUGGCGAACGUUAUCCGGAAUUACUGGGCGUAAAGGGCUCGUAGGCGGCCAACUAAGUCAUACGUGAAAUCCCUCAGCUUAACUGGGGAACUGCGUGUGAUACUGGAUGGCUUGGAUGUGGGAGAGGGAUGCGGAAUUCCAGGUGUAGCGGUGAAAUGCGUAGAUAUCUGGAGGAACACCGGUGGCGAAGGCGGCAUCCUGGACCAUUAUUGACGCUGAGGAGCGAAAGCCAGGGGAGCAAACGGG
rnacentral:rRNA from 1 species